AUUGGCCCUUGGCCGGCCACUCCCUCCUCCUUUGGUCAUUUUUCUCACACUCCACUCCCUCACACUCUCCUCUACCUCUCCCCCACGAAAAUGCUGCUGCCCCUUGCUCCCAUGGCCGGCCAUGGCCAUGGAAGGCACUCCAAGAUGAAGCUCCCUCCUCCCUCAAGCUCCUCCUCACCAUGAGAGCCUCCCUCUCCUUCUUCUCCCCAACCCUAGAUGGUUUUCUCUCCUCUUCCUCUUCCUCCAUUGCUAAGAUUGGAUCUUGAUGCAGGUGCAUGUUGGUCCAAGCAUGGAGAAGCUUGAGCUAUCCUCAGAUCUGAAGUUCUUGAGCAAAAUCCAAAUCGAGUGAUUCAAAGUUCCGCAGAUAGAUACGGAAAAUAUCUACAACUUGGCGUUGGUCUCAUCCUCAAGUUCGUUACGGAUUGUCCGUGGUGAAAGCCCUCUUCAAUACCUUCAUUUUGGCGGUGGUUUCACUUCGAUUGACAUCCUGAAACUGAAAUGGUUCACAGGUCAAGAUCUGGUCAGAUCUGACUUUGUCGAAUUAAACCAGGAGCUUGGGAAUGAAUCUUUGAGUGAAACAAAUUGGGGGAUGUUUGGUUUAUACCAUGGUGAUAACCGAGAGAGGCAAUUGCUAAGUUGUGAUGCACUCAUUGACAAGGUAUCAACUUGUCAAUGCCUAUGGAUUGUAGGCUAGGGUUUAGUUGGAAGUAGAGGGCAAGUAGACCUCGAAGGUUUCAGCCGAAAAGUACUCGACGAUUAUGAAAACUAGGGUUUGUAACAAUGAUUCGAUGAUCUCUUCGUCCCUCGACUCCCCCUUUAUAUAGGAGGCGGAGCCGAGGGUUUCGUUUUGUACAAGUUACAGAGUCCGGGACGGUUUCUAGCUCAUCCCGCCAGAUUACAAAUAAC